rnacentral:rRNA from 1 species
GACGAACGCUGGCGGCGUGCCUAAUACAUGCAAGUCGAACGAACCGCGACUAGGUGCUUGCACUUGGUCAAGGUGAGUGGCGAACGGGUGAGUAACACGUGGGUAACCUACCUCAUAGUGGGGGAUAACAGUCGGAAACGACUGCUAAUACCGCAUAGGACAUAGGAUCACAUGAUUCUGUGAGGAAAGGUGGCGCAAGCUAUCGCUAAGAGAUGGACCCGCGGUGCAUUAGCUAGUUGGUAGGGUAAAGGCCUACCAAGGCGAUGAUGCAUAGCCGACCUGAGAGGGUGAUCGGCCACAUUGGGACUGAGACACGGCCCAAACGCCUACGGGAGGCAGCAGUAGGGAAUCUUCCGCAAUGGACGCAAGUCUGACGGAGCAACGCCGCGUGAGUGAAGAAGGUCUUCGGAUCGUAAAGCUCUGUUGUUAGAGAAGAACAGCGCAUAGAGUAACUGUUAUGCGUGUGACGGUAUCUAACCAGAAAGCCACGGCUAACUACGU